AUGUACCACCACCCUGCGGCGGCGUACUACGCGCACGCGCACGCCUCCAUGGUCGCGGGGGUGCCUUACAUGGCCGGCGAGUCUGUCUCGGCGGCAGGGAAAGGGAAGAGGGUGGGGAAGACACGAUGUGUCCCUUCUGGCGAGAUCAAUUUCAGCUCCGGGAGCGGCGAUGCCGGGAGCCAGGGGUCAUUGGAGAAGGGAGAUACGGGCGCCAAUCAGAAGGGCUCAUCAUCAUCCGCGAAGAGGAGGAAGUCCGGCGCUGCAAAUACAGAAGAUGGGUUAUCAGUUAUCACAAACCAUAAUUCCUGGAUACAAGGUGAAUCUCAGGCUGCCACAGUGCAGAAUGCUGUAACCGAGCCGCCAUUGGAAGACAAGGAGAGGUCUACAUCCAAACUGUUGGUUUUGGCACCUGGGAGGGCGGCACUCACCAGUGCUGCACCGAACUUGAAUAUUGGGAUGGAUCCCUUGAGCGCUUCUCCAUCCUCCAUAGUACAGGGGGAGGUGAAUGCCGCAGCUUCUUCCCAGAGUAACGCUUCACUGUCUCAGAUGCAAGAAUGCGAAGAGCUAGCCCAGAAGGUAAGUGAGCUGACCGCAGCGAACGGCACGCUUAGAUCAGAACUCGGCCAGCUUAAGGACUGCAAAACCAUGGAAACAGAAAAUAAACAGCUGAUGCAGUCAGAGGGCCCUAGCGUUGUGACUACCCUGAGCAUCCAGGUCGAAGCGCCCGAGCCGCAUCCAGAUCGAAGCCCGAGACUCCCUGUAGUAGAGCACCUGCUGCCUCAAACUUCAGAGAAGAUGUGCACGAAUGGCUGUUUGGUCGCAGGUUACUCCAAGAAGAAGUAG
rnacentral:rRNA from 1 species